rnacentral:lncRNA from 10 species
GCGGCGUCGGGUUGGAAAACCAGGAGAGCAUGGAGCUUUUUCGCUGGUCCGGCGCGGUCUCUUGCGUUCCUGUGGCGGGCACCUGACUCCCCAUGCCCGAGUACUGUCCUCAGGCGGAACGGCGUCUGCAGCGAGGAGCGGGGUUCCAGCAGGCUCGGCUGACGCGGUCCCUGGCAUUUCCCGUGCUGGCCCUGGGUCGCCCUCGAUGCUGCUUCCCGCUGGGAGCCUCCUUCUGACGGCGGAAAGGAGCUUCACCUGGGGCGGCCGGCGGGGAACGGAGAAGAAUCCACCGGGGAAGUGGACGGGGCUGGCUCCCGGGCCUGGCGCUGCGGCUCUCGGGCCGUCAGACCUCCCGCGGGUUGCGUCACUUUCCUCGGUUUUCUAGACAGCAGUUGUGGGGUUGAAUCCUUGCCGUGGUUUUGUAAGAAUUAAAUGAGAUAAUGAACGCGAA